GUUUUGUAAUAAGAGAAGUCCCUCCACCUAAUGUAAGAUCCUUUGAGCUCUCAGGAGGUUUAUGAAGCAACAUUCUCCCCCCUGUACAGAGAUGAAAGCCAAGGCUCAAAAAAGUGAAGGAAUUUACCCAAGCACAGGAUGAGCUGCACCUGAAGAACCAUCUCCCCUCACCUGGCUGACUUCCACAAGCCUUAGUAUCUCUGCUUCCCACUGAGUCCUCGGGAAGCUCCCACAGUGCCUCCUGCUGCUGUCACGCCCGGCCACCCACGCCGUGACCAGCAGUGUGCACGGCCGAGAUUUAUAGAUGGAAAACAGAAGGGCUAGUGGAGAAAAACGCUGCCUUCUGAAGUGCAAAUUCCUCCUCCCACGCCAUUGGAAAUGAUACAAAUAACAUAAUUAAACAUAUUG